rnacentral:rRNA from 1 species
UACAGAGGGGGCGAGCGUUAUUCGGAAUCAUUGGGCGUAAAGCGCGUGUAGGCGGCCCGAUAAGUCCGCUGUGAAAGUCCAGGGCUCAACCCUGGGAUGCCGGUGGAUACUGUCGGGCUCGAGUCCGGAAGAGGAGUGUGGAAUUCCUGGUGUAGCGGUGAAAUGCGUAGAUAUCGGGAGGAACAUCAGUGGCGAAGGCGGCUGCCUGGCCCAAUACUGACACUCAGGUGCGGCAGCGUGGGGAGCAAACAGG